rnacentral:rRNA from 1 species
UUGGCUUUGAAUUGUAUUGUGGAAAUGUAUUACCAACAGAGGUGCAGGUGCCAGCCUAUUGAAAUAAAGCGUCAAUGAGGGUGAGAAUCCUGUUUGUCAUGUGCAGCCCUUUGUGCACGGUGUAUAUUUGCUGAGUCACACUCCUUGGCAUUGGAAUGCAAAGUGGGUGGUAAGUUUCAUGUAAAGGUAAACAUGCAAUUGAGACUGAUAGCACACAAGUACCAUGAGGGAAAUAUGAAAAGGACUUUGAAAAGAGAAUUAAAUGAGUUUGUAUUUGCUGAACACAAAGUAAACAGACUUGAUUUGCUUGGUGGGAGUGUUGCACUUGCUUGACAAGAGCUUUGGGCUGUGGGUGUAAUGAUUCUUUCUUUGCAUGCCAGUUUCUAUUUGUACAUCUGAUUACCUUUGCACAUGAAUGAUAAGUCUCCUGUGGGGGGUGGAUUGCAUGUGCAUGUAAUGAUUUGUGUUUUGAUAAAUGUGUCUGGUGUAUGUGUGUGUUCCUGUGCUUGGGGAUGCUUCCUUCCUUGGACUUACAAGCCCUGACACACACAUGCUGGCAAAAUGCUUCUGCUUGACCCGUCUUGAAACACGGACCAAGGAGUCUAACAGAUGUGCAAAGUUUGAAGGUGGUAUACCUUUGUGUGCAAUGAAAGUGUCAGCUGGGAUAUGUGCACCAGCACCCAAUUAAUUAGCGGACAGAGGUUUGAGUUGGAGCAUAUCUAUUAGGACCCGAAAGAUGGUGAACUAUGCCUGAACAGAAUGAAUUCAGAGGAAACUCUGAUGGAGGUUCGUAUCGAUACUGACGUGCAAAUCGUUCGUCAUAUUUGGGUAUAGGGGCGAAAGACUAAUCGAACCAUCUAGUAGCUGGUUCCCUCCGAAGUUUCCCUCAGGAUAGCUGGAGUUGCUCAGUUUUAUCAGGUAAAGCGAAUGAUUAGAGGAAUUGGGGACAGGUUUGUCUUUGACCUAUUCUCAAACUUUAAAU